rnacentral:rRNA from 1 species
AGAAUGAACGUUGGCGGCGUGGAUUAGGCAUGCAAGUCGUACGGGCCGCAAGGCCAGUGGCGCAAGGGUGAGUAAGGCGACGGUAACCAACCCCAUGACUGGGUAUAGCCGCGGGAAACCGCGGGUAAUCCCCAGCGACGUCGCGGCGAGGCAUCUCGCUGCGACCAAAGCUCCGGCGUCGUGGGACGGGCUGUCGUGGUAUUAGCUUGUUGGCGGGGUAACGGCCCACCAAGGCGGCGAUGCCUACCGGGCGUGCGAGCGUGGCCCGGCACACUGGGACUGAGACACUGCCCAGACUCCUACGGGAGGCUGCAGUCGAGAAUCUUCGGCAAUGGGCGCAAGCCUGACCGAGCGACGCCGCGUGGAGGACGAAGGCCUUCGGGUUGUAAACUCCUGUCGAGGGGAGAAGGGGCGAAAGCCCUUGACUGAUCCCUGGAGGAAGCACGGGCUAAGUUCGCGCCAGCAGCCGC